rnacentral:rRNA from 1 species
AUCUUUUGAUCCUGGCUCAGGAUGAACGCUGACAGAAUGCUUAACACAUGCAAGUCAACUUGAACUUCGGUUUGGGUGGCGGACGGGUGAGUAACGCGUAAAGAACUUGCCUCACAGAUAGGGACAACAUUUGGAAACGAAUGCUAAUACCUGAUAUUAUGAUUUUAGGGCAUCCUAGGAUUAUGAAAGCUAUAUGCGCUGUGAGAGAGCUUUGCGUCCCAUUAGCUAGUUGGAGAGGUAACGGCUCACCAAGGCGAUGAUGGGUAGCCGGCCUGAGAGGGUGAUCGGCCACAAGGGGACUGAGACACGGCCCUUACUCCUACGGGAGGCAGCAGUGGGGAAUAUUGGACAAUGGACCAAGAGUCUGAUCCAGCAAUUCUGUGUGCACGAUGAAGUUUUUCGGAAUGUAAAGUGCUUUCAGUUGGGAAGAAAAAAAUGACGGUACCAACAGAAGAAGUGACGGCUAAAUACGUGCCAGCAGCCGCGGUAAUACGUAUGUCACAAGCGUUAUCCGGAUUUAUUGGGCGUAAAGCGCGUCUAGGUGGUUAUGUAAGUCUGAUGUGAAAAUGCAGGGCUCAACUCUGUAUUGCGUUGGAAACUGUGUAACUAGAGUACUGGAGAGGUAAGCGGAACUACAAGUGUAGAGGUGAAAUUCGUAGAUAUUUGUAGGAAUGCCGAUGGGGAAGCCAGCUUACUGGACAGAUACUGACGCUGAAGCGCGAAAGCGUGGGUAGCAAACAGGAUUAGAUACCCUGGUAGUCCACGCC